rnacentral:rRNA from 1 species
GCUGGGCACUGCUUCACGGCGUGCGCGGCGGGGCCGGCCCUGCUGAACUAUUCACCCGUGUCUUUUGCGUACCUCUUGUUUCCUGGGCGGGCUCGCCCGCCACCAGGACCAACCACAAACCUUUUUGUAAUAGCAAUCCGCGUCAGUAACAACGUAAUUAAUUACAACUUUCAACAACGGAUCUCUUGGUUCUGGCAUCGAUGAAGAACGCAGCGAAAUGCGAUACGUAGUGUGAAUUGCAGAAUUCAGUGAAUCAUCGAAUCUUUGAACGCACAUUGCGCCCUUUGGUAUUCCAAAGGGCAUGCCUGUUCGAGCGUCAUUUGUACCCUCAAGCUUUGCUUGGUGUUGGGCGUCUUUGUCUCCAGCUCGCUGGAGACUCGCCUUAAAGUCAUUGGCAGCCGGCCUACUGGUUUCGGAGCGCAGCACAAGUCGCGCUCUCUUCCAGCCAAGGUCAGCGUCCAGCAAGCCUUUUUUUCAACCUUUGACCUCGGAUCAGGUAGGGAUACCCGCUGAACUUAAGCAUAUCAAUA